AUUGAACGCUGGCGGCAUGCCUUACACAUGCAAGUCGAACGGUAACAGGUUAAGCUGACGAGUGGCGAACGGGUGAGUAAUGUAUCGGAACGUGCCCAGUCGUGGGGGAUAACUGCUCGAAAGAGCAGCUAAUACCGCAUACGACCUGAGGGUGAAAGCGGGGGAUCGCAAGACCUCGCGCGAUUGGAGCGGCCGAUAUCAGAUUAGGUAGUUGGUGAGGUAAAGGCUCACCAAGCCGACGAUCUGUAGCUGGUCUGAGAGGACGACCAGCCACACUGGGACUGAGACACGGCCCAGACUCCUACGGGAGGCAGCAGUGGGGAAUUUUGGACAAAGGGCGCAAGCCUGAUCCAGCCAUGCCGCGUGCGGGAAGAAGGCCUUCGGGUUGUAAACCGCUUUUGUCAGGGAAGAAAAGGUUCUGGCUACUACCUGGGACUCAUGACGGUACCUGAAGAAUAAGCACCGGCUAACUACGUG
rnacentral:rRNA from 1 species